rnacentral:rRNA from 1 species
AAUAUUGGACAAUGGGCGAAAGCCUGAUCCAGCCAUGCCUCGUGUGUUAAGAAGGUCUUCGGAUUGUAAAGCACUUUAAGUCGGGAGGAAGGGCAGUAAGAUAAUACCUUGCUGUUUUGACGUUACCGACAGAAUAAGCACCGGCUAACUUCGAGCCAGCCGCCGCGGUAAUACGGAGGUUGCAAGCGUUAAUCGGAAUUACUGGGCGUAAAGGUCGCGUAGGUGGUUUGUUAAGUUGGAAGUGAAAGCCCCGGGCUCAACCUGGGAACUGCUUUAAAAACUGGCAAGCUAGAGCAUGGCAGAGGGUGGUGGAAUUUCCUGUGUAGCGGUGAAAUGCGUAGAUAUAGGAAGGAACACCAGUGGCGAAGGCGACCACCUGGGCUAAUACUGACACUGAGGUGCGAAAGCGUGGGGAGCAGAC